rnacentral:lncRNA from 1 species
AUUGGUACUAAAUUGAAAUUAAACUAAUUUAGACUACUAAUGCAUGAUAUGGAAUGCAAAAGGUCUAAAUUUUGCCUAAACACCAUAUUGACCUAUUUCGAUCUUUUACCCAGUAAAUUGAAAUACGCAUCCAAUUUAGCUCCAAUUGAUCCCAUUUCUUUUUCUAAUGCUUCAAGUCACCAAUGUCCAGCCAAAUAACCAAAAAAUCAGC